rnacentral:piRNA from 1 species
UGUGCUUACUAAAGAACCAGCCCCUUCCC